rnacentral:rRNA from 1 species
GAUGAACGCUAGCGGGAGGCCUAAUACAUGCAAGUCGAACGGUAACAGGAAUAGCAAUAUUUGCUGACGAGUGGCGUACGGGUGCGUAACACGUACACAAUCUGCCUUAUACUGGAGCAUACCCCCAAGAAAUUGGGACUAAUUCUCCAUAAUAUAUUUGAGGGGCAUCCUUUGAAUAUUAAAACUCCGGUGGUAUAAGAUGAGUGUGCGCCCGAUUAGAUAGUUGGUGAGGUAACGGCUCACCAAGUCAACGAUCGGUAGCUGGUCUGAGAGGACGAUCAGCCACACGGGCACUGAGACACGGGCCCGACUCCUACGGGAGGCAGCAGUAGGGAAUAUUGGACAAUGGGCGCAAGCCUGAUCCAGCCAUCCCGCGUGAAGGAUUAAGGCCCUCUGGGUUGUAGACUGCUUUUGUACGGAGCGAAAAAAGCUCUCUCUAAUACAGGAGUUCAUGACGGUACCGUAAGAAUAAGCACCGGCUAACUACGUGCCAGCAGCCG